ensembl:lncRNA
AAUCAAACCCAUACAGUGUGACAACAUGGCAGAACAGUGGGCAGAAAACGCUGGGGUGGGGUACAGCAGGGAUCUCACGCCACCUUUAGGAAUUCCCAAGACUUCUCCUCCAGAAGACAGAGCAGAUAAAGCUUUCUGGAGCCUUCACACAGGUGUGACCUGCUCCAGGGACCUAUACCUUACAGCCUAGAGCUGAAGGCAGCGGCUUUUGGUCUCAUUUGGGGUAAAUUUCAAAGCUUCCUGCAGAUGGAAGAAACCAAAGGACUUCCAUUUGUCCUCCUUUUGUCUGUAUUUGUGUUGCAGCCCCAGUCCCAGCCAGCACUCACUGAUGUGAGCAGGACCCAUGAAGAGGGCACUCGCUGCUUGCUAAUCUCAUGCAUGUUAUACUUGAUACAAGCGAAGAAGGCUGAAUAUAUAAGCAGAACAAAACAUGGCAAAUGUGCUCACAAAAGGCUUUGUCAGAUAAGGGGGUGGGGCCACAAGAAACUCCUCAGCUCUUGUUUGCUGCUUUCUGUUCCACCUACACUCACACCGGUGUGGGAACUGUCCGUUUUUGGGAGGGAUCUGUAGAGGGUUCCUGGUAAGCACAUGAUCCUGACCACUCGCAGUGGAAUGAGACUGUUUUCUGACUGAUGAUCAUAAUCAUUCCAGCUGCAAAACACACGCGCGUAUAAACAUUACAACAUCGAUGUUGCUUUUACAAUGUCUGGUGUCAUCAAAUAAACAACAACAGCCUUCAGGAGUGGCUCCUGAACCCAACAGCUGGACGAAAGCCUUCCUCUGGUGGUGGUUUAUCUUUCAUCCGUCUUUCAGGCUUUCUCAGAAUAAUUCACUACAAAGGAAUCAACAACUGCAGAAUCACACUCUUUCUGUGUGUCACGUAUCAGCAUUUUCUGUCCCUACGUGGAGUGAGAUGAGAUAGUAUUUCGCAAGAAUCCCUCUGUUGCCACUACUGCAGAACAGACCGAGACUUUUCAGCAGUGCCCAUGAAUGGACUGCUGGGAAGAACAUGUUAAUCAACCCUCAGUCAUCCAUUCCAGUAUAAACAGCUUACCCGCAGAUCCACCUCAGGUUGCCUCAUCAUGUACCCAACAAAGAGGAAAUGAGAGGAAAUGGAAGCUUCUCAUGCAGGGCAGAAGCAAACGAGCUGAGCCGGCAGGUUUGGGAGGCCCUGGUUUGCUACAUGUUGGAGACCACUCCCAUCUCUCAACUGUUCCCCAUCUCAACAGUCACAGCGUCCCUUCUUUCCUUCUCCUUGGCCCCACAGUGAGAUUCAGGCUUCUUCAGCUUCUGGAUUAUCAUUUUCAGUAUCUCUUCUCUCCCCCCAGCUCUCAGGCAAAUCUCUCAGCAGCAGUGGGCUGUGCUAUGGCUGCGCUGGAAAGCAUGCAGCCAGUAAACCCAGCCAGUGAGGCCUGAGUGCUGUGCCGCUCCUCAGAGCCCUCCUCUGCCCAGCUGAUGGCUCUCCUCACCUUGUGGGUGCUCACGGUGGGAUUCCCCUCGCCUCACCUAUCUACUUUGUGGGCUUACCCACCUGUGGAAGCUGUCCAGGUUCCCAUCAUC